AAUGAAAGGAUUCUUUCAUCAUUGUCAAGGAGAUCAGUAGCUGCCCAUCCUUGGCAUGAUCUAGAAAUUGAUCACUAAAGGAAGCAAGGUUAAGUAUGAACUUGACAAAAAGACUGGAUUGAUUAAGGUUGAUCGGGUUUUGUAUUCAUCAGUUGUUUAUCC